rnacentral:rRNA from 1 species
GACGAACGCUGGCGGCGUGCUUAACACAUGCAAGUCGAACGGAAAGGCCCUGCUUUUGUGGGGCGCUCGAGUGGCGAACGGGUGAGUAACACGUGAGUAACCUGCCCCUGACUUUGGGAUAACUUCAGGAAACUGCGGCUAAUACCGGAUAGGAGCUCCUGCUGCAUGGUGGGGGUUGGAAAGUUUCGGCGGUUGGGGAUGGUCUCGCGGCUUAUCAGCUUGUUGGUCGGGUAGUGGCUUACCAAGGCUAUGACGGGUAGCCGGCCUGAGAGGGUGACCGGCCGCGUUGCGACUAAGAUAGGGACCAGAAUCCUACGGGAGGCAGCGGGGGGGAACCUGACGAAGCGGGCGGACGUCAGUUGCGGUAACGCCGCGUGCGGGAAGAUGGCCUAUGGGUUAAAAACCGCUUUGGCCUGUAACGUAGCGGGAGUGACGGUAAUGGGUCAGGAAGCAACGGCUAACUACGUG